CUCAUCUCCAGAUCGAAAAAAUUGAAACGUCGUGAAGAUAGACUGAAACGUAUCGUCGUCUUCAACGCCUUCAUUAACCAUUGAUUUACACUUCUCACACGAUCUAUUAUUGAUUGCAUACUUCCAUCAUCAGAAUCUUCGACUAUAAAAAGAUUAUUAUUCAGAGCUUUUGUUUGUGAGAGAUGAUAGUGGGAGACUGAGAAUGGAUUUUUUUUUUUUUAGAUUCAGGUACUUCACCCUCCUAUAAUCCUCGAUGGCAGACUCAGAAUAAUCUUGAGAGCAAGUAUUCAUGGUUCGGUGAUAACUACCGCUCCGUCGAUGAGGUUGCUUCUGCUCUUUCACAUGCUGGUUUGGAGUUCAUCGAGUGGGCUGAAAGUAACAGUGUUCGUUUUCUGGGGAUUUUCUACGGGUUGCAGCUGGUUGUGCAGAAGCUCGGGGGUGUUGUGGUGGAAGGGGAGCGUAAGGAGUAUGGGAAGAUGUAGAUUGAGGUGAAGGGUGAUGAGAGUGAGAUUUUUAGGGAGGGGAGGGUUGGUGAGAAGCAGGUUGUUUGGAUGAGUCAUGGGGAUGAGGCUGUUGAGCUUCCUGAUGGGUUUGAGGUUGUGGCGAGGAGUUCUCAGGGAGAUGUUUCUGCUUUGGAGAACAGGGAGAGGAGGAUUUAUGGUUUGCAGUAUCAUCCUGAGGUUGCUUCUGCUCUUUCAAUUUCAGUGAUACACUCUGUAAUAGGUUUGAAGAAGUUCUCAUGUGUUAAAAGAGAUAUUGCAGAUCCGACAAAAAGGGCAUGACGUUUGUGGAAGAAAAGUUGAGGCCAGUACCAUGUUCUUCUCAGUUCUUCAUUGAACUUUCAUGUCUCUUUUUAUUUAGUGUUAGAUGUAUUUCUAAGUAAUCAGUAGUGCGUGUCUUAUUACAAUCUAAAUUUGAUGUGCUGUGUCAAAUGUCUAGCUUACAAUGUUUAUUUU